rnacentral:ncRNA from 1 species
AUACGUAUCCAUGUCAUAGGGCUGUUAACGAAGCAAUUUGUUAACGAUAACCUGUCAAAUUCGGGGAAGUCUUACCGCAGCAAAUGCGAUGAUAAUCCCGAGCCAAGCUUCACAUUAUGUGAUGAAGGUGUAGAGACUAGAUGGCAGGGUCCCGUAGCGCUCAAAGAGCGCAAUAUUAUCAAGUUUGUUUUUGCACAAGCAAAAACUCAUCUUGCGGGACAAGGUAUAGUCCAGAUUACAAACCUGAAAAGGGUCG